GUUAUUUUAAUCCCCUAUUAAAAGUGGCAGGGUUUUUAUUAUGUCAAGGUUUUCUUUUAAUUCCUUUAAUAUUUGGACAAGUAUUGAGAAGUGUACACCUCAAUUUGAAGACUUGUGGGCAAAUAAUUAUAAAUAAUUCAACAAAUUAAUUCACCUGUUCUCAUGUGUAUUCUUCUCUACAGGAAAAAUGCCACAUCAGAUGACAGAAUGCCCAAUAUGCUUGAUUCCAUAUGUUGCAGUUGGGCAGCAUUUUAAAAAAUACCACCAUAUUGUAAACAAAGAAGAAUUACAUUUACUGCUAAAUUACUGCUCUACAGUUUACAGGGGCAGGCUGGACUGUCCAGUAUGUAAAGCAAAAAGCCGUAUAAGACUGGACAAGCAUUUGCAAAAUGUCCACUGUGAUAUUGAGAAAUCAGAUCAGAAAAAAGUAAUAAGGACAGCGAAACGACUGGCUAAUUUGAAAGCCCUCAAAGCUCUCAGACGUUCAAAUCCACAGCCUCCAAUGGUGGCCUCACUGGACAUAGAGCAGCUGACUGAAAGCAGUGAUCAAGAGGAGCGAAGUGAUAGCAGUGAUACCAAUGAAGAUUGUGCAGAGAUUAGAGAAGACAGCUCAGUCCAUUCCCCUGUCAAUCAGUCAGAUGAUUCUCAAGUCCAACAUCAGAACUG